ACGCUAUCACUCCUACGGGAGGCAGCAGUAAGGAAUAUUGGACAAUGGGCGAAAGCCUGAUCCAGCCAUGCCGCGUGGUGGAUGACGGCCCUCCGGGUUGUAAACACCUUUUAUCUGGGGAUAAUGGUUUCCUAUACGGAAGCUUGCAGGUACCAGAUGAAUAAGCACCGGCUAACUACGUGCCAGCAGCCGCGGUAAUACGUAGGGUGCAAGCGUUAUCCGGAAUUACUGGGUUUAAAGGGUGCGUAGGCGGGCGAUUAAGUCAGAGGUGAAAGCUUUCAGCUUAACUGAGAAAUUGCCUUUGAUACUGAUUGUCUUGAAAUAUGUUGAGGUUAGCAGAAUGUGGCAUGUAGCGGUGAAAUGCAUAGAUAUGCCAUAGAAUACCAAUUGCGAAGGCAGCUAACUGGGCAUUAUUUGACGCUGAGGCACGAAAGCGUGGGGAGCGAACAGGAUUAGAUACCCUGGUAG
rnacentral:rRNA from 1 species